rnacentral:tRNA from 1 species
GCGGGGGUGGCCGAGGGGUCCAAGGCGCCAGCCUUAGGAGCUGGUGGGUCCAGGCCCGCGUGGGUUCGAAUCCCACCCCCCGCA